UCUUACCAACCAACAACACAUCGCAUAUAGUCCACUACAGAUUAAGGAUAAAUUUGGGACCAGAAAAUCCUCCAAAUACAAUCAUAUUCUGUGUUUUAUACCAACAAUAUUACAUAUUUAGACCAAAAAAAUAAUUCAAAAAAAUACCUAUGGUUUAAAAUUUGUCAACAUGAUUCAUUCAAGGUUUGACCCCACAAUAUGAAAUUUAAAUGUACACCAUAAAUUUAAAAUUAUUUUUUGAGUAAAUUUUUUGUAGUGCAUAGGGUUUUCCUGUUUUACCCUCAUCAUGCAACAGUUGGCUGCUUCACCACAGCCAUGGAAAAGCCCUGAGCCCACUUGACUUGUCUGUACUAUUAGAUGGUCAUGGUCCAUCAGUUUCUGAACCUGUGAUGAUGAACCACAAACAAGACACCCACUAGCACCAACCCUUCCUCUACUAGUUCCAACCAAUCAUCCUCUCUUUCUCAAAUCUUUUUGUGAGUUAUCAAAAUCAAGAAUUUCAAGACACACAAAUCUUGAAACAUAAUUUCAAUUUCACAGCUAUGAGUAUCUUAAAAAAAGAAGAAUAUUCUCAAGUCAAGACACAUAACAGUUAUUAUAUCAUUGAGAAUCUCAUAAUAGCACAUGAAUCUUGAAGCAUAAUACAAAGCAUAUAAUAUAUUAACCCCUUAGAACAACUCUUUGAUUCAUAUCCACAGCUUGACCAUCUCAAUUCCAUAUCCACAGCUUAUUCUAUAUUUGAUCUCUUCAUUCUUGACUCCCCAUAUAUGUAUAGUCACCAACACAAGAACUACUACAUACAGUUUCUUCUCGUAUACAUAGUCAAGUCACCAUGCUUGAAGGCAAGGCAGUCAUAGGUGAGACUGACAUGCUUCAGACCAUGCAACUAGUGGCACUUGAGUUAGCAGCAAAAGCACUUGACUUCUUUGAUGUCACUGAGCCCACUCAGAUGGCCGCUUCAUAAAGCAGGUGUUUGAUGCAGGAAUUUGAUACGACAUAUGGAUCAGGAUGGCAAUGCAUCGUGGGGACAGACUUUGGUUCGUUUGUGACUCACUGCUAUGGUUCUAUCAUCUAUUUUUGCAUUGGCAGCCUUGCCAUUUUGCUCUUCAGGGGCUCGGCAGUGAAAGCAUGAAGCUUCUUGUCAAUUUUUUUUUAUUUUGCUUUGUUUGCUUUUUACCAGUGUAGACUUGAAAAUGAGAAAAUUCCAAGUUUCAUCUUCUUCCAACAUUCCAAGUC